rnacentral:rRNA from 1 species
CCUACGGGUGGCAGCAGUAGGGAAUGUUCGUCAAUGGGCGCAAGCCUGAACGAGCAAUGCCGCGUGAACGAGGAAGGUCUUCGGAUCGUAAAGUUCUGUUGAAGGGGAAAAAGAGCGGAGAGAGGAAAUGCUUUCUGAUGGAUAUUACCCUUCGAGGAAGUCACGGCUAACUACGUGCCAGCAGCCGCGGUAAUACGUAGGUGGCGAGCGUUAUCCGGAAUGAUUGGGCGUAAAGGGUGCGUAGGCGGCCUGCUAAGUCUGGAGUGAAAGGUACCGGCUCAACCGGUACAGGCUCUGGAAACUGGCGGGCUCGCGAGCAGGAGAGGGCGGUGGCACUCCAUGUGUCGCGGUCCAAUGCGUCGUUCUCUGGCAGCACACCAGUGG